rnacentral:rRNA from 1 species
GAUCUCUUGGUUCCGGCAUCGAUGAAGAACGCAGCGAAAUGCGAUAACUAAUGUGAUUGCAGAAUUCAGUGAAUCAUCGAGUCUUUGAACGCACAUUGCGCCCUCUGGUAUUCCGAGGGCAUGCCUGUCCGAGCGUCAUUGCUGCCCUCAAGCCCGGCUUGUGUGUUGGGCCCCGUCCCCCCCGCCGGGGGGACGGGCCCGAAAGGCAGCGGCGGCACCGCGUCCGGUCCUCGAGCGUAUGGGGCUUCGUCACCCGCUCUAGUAGGCCCGGCCGGCGCCAGCCGACCCCCAACCUUAAUUAUCUCAGGUUGACCUCGGAUCAGGUAGGGAUACCCGCUGAACUUAAGCAUAUCA